rnacentral:ncRNA from 1 species
AACAGCUCACUAGUCGAGCGAUCGGGCAUGGAUAAUAAACGGGCAUAAAAUAGUAUACCCGAAGCUUUUGGAUUUAUACUACGUAUAAGUGGUAGGGGAGCAUUCCAGUUGCGGCGAAGCUAUACGCGUUAGCGGUGGUGGAGGGCUGGAAAAAGCAAAUGUAGGCAUAAGUAACGAUAAGGCGGGAGAGAAACCCGCCCACCGAAAGACUAAGGUUUCCUGAUCAACGCUAAUCGGAUCAGGGUUAGUCGGGGCCUAAGGUGUACCCGAAUGGGGAAUCCGAUGGACAACUGGUUAAUAUUCCAGUACUUUUUAUAACUGCGAUGUGGUGACGGAGUAGUGACACUGCCGCGAACUGACGGAAUAGUUCGUUAAAGGCCGUAGGUAUUGGUCUGGUAGGCAAAUCCGCCAGACUAGCUGAAAGCUGAUAGUACCGCAAACCUUCGGGGGCGUGGAUAGUUCAGGUAAUCAGACUUCCAAGAAAACCCUCUAAGCUUCAGGUUAUAAAAACCCGUACCGUAAACCGACACAGGUAGUCGAGGAGAGAAUCCUAAGGUGCUCGAGUGAAUCAUGGCUAAGGAACUCGGCAAAAUGGCCCUGUAACUUCGGGAGAAGGGGCGCUGUCAGCAA